rnacentral:rRNA from 1 species
GGGAGCGAACAGGAUUAGAUACCCUGGUAGUCCACGCCGUAAACGAUGGGCGCUAGUUGUGGGGACCUUCCACGGUUUCUGCGACGCAGCUAACGCAUUAAGCGCCCCGCCUGGGGAGUACGAUCGCAAGAUUAAAACUCAAAGGAAUUGACGGGGCCCCGCACAAGCAGCGGAGCGUGCGGCUUAAUUCGACGCAACGCGAAGAACCUUACCAAGGCUUGACAUAUAGGGAAAAGCGGCAGAGAUGUCGUGUCCGCAAGGGCUCUAUACAGGUGGUGCAUGGUUGUCGUCAGCUCGUGUCGUGAGAUGUUGGGUUAAGUCCCGCAACGAGCGCAACCCUCGUUCUGUGUUGCCAGCAUUUAGUUGGGGACUCACAGGAGACUGCCGGGGUUAACUCGGAGGAAGGUGGGGAUGACGUCAAAUCAUCAUGCCCCUUAUGUCUUGGGCUGCACGCAUGCUACAAUGGCCGAUACAAAGGGCUGCGAUACCGUAAGGUGGAGCGAAUCCCAAAAAGUCGGUCUCAGUUCGGAUUGAGGUCUGCAACUCGACCUCAUGAAGUCGGAGUUGCUAGUAAUCGUAGAUCAGCAACGCUACGGUGAAUACGUUCCCGGGGCUUGUACACACCGCCCGUCACGUCACGAAGUCGGUAACACCCAAAGUCAGUGGCCCAACCGUAAGGAGGGAGCUG